GCUCAUCAAGAUGGUGGGUGAAAAACCGGCAGUAACACCUAUAGUUAUUCUUUAGGGUGCAAAAUUCGCUCCUAGGAUGUGGAUUCUAUUUUUGAAGCUUUAGGAAUAACAUCCUUACAAAGAAAUUCUGCCCAUAAUUGAUAAUUGGCUGAACAUUCCCAUGUUUUUGUAAAUAAUGCAACAGUUAUAAAUGUGUCAAAUCAAUGAUUCUUAUGAUUCAUCUUCAUGUGACAUUUAACUUGUUCUACCAUGGUAUGUCUUUUAUGAUUUAGCAGUGAGCAGAAAAGCUUCUUUUUUACUUGGUUUGAGGUUUAAAAAGUAUUCCUUUCUAGUCUUAACAAUAAA
rnacentral:misc_RNA from 1 species